GAUAAGGUGGCUGAAUUUUUAGGUAAUAAAUUGUAAAUUUAUUUAUGGCUUUAUAUGCCUCUUAUCA
rnacentral:tRNA from 1 species